rnacentral:tRNA from 1 species
GGAGUUGUGGCUCAAUGGUAGAGCACUUGCCUGGCAUGUGUGAGGCCCUGGGUUUGAUCCUCAGCACUGCA